CUUUCAGCCAUCUUGGAAUUUGUAUGUAAACAAUCUGCAAUAUUUUGCAAUUUCUUUUUUUUUUGCUCUUUGUGUCUGGAAUUGUAUUGGUGGGAAUAAGAGAAUUGAAAAGUUGAAAGCUCAAGAGAAUAAAUCGACUCUCAGUGUCGGUUGGUGAUGGAGAUAUUUUACCCGCGUUUUGCAGCUAGAGACGUCGGUUAAUCGUUCGAUUAAUUCAAAUAAUCGAAUAUCUGUAACAGUAAUUUUAUACCAAAUAAUGAAAAAUCAAGAAAAUACAGUGUAAAAUUUGUUUAACCGUCAUGGUGUUUCGUCGAAAUUCAUAGAAUAUGCUAAAUCAUUUACAGUAGAAGCUUGAUUCCUAGGUGGUGGAGGAGACUGGGAAGAAGAAUUCAGGGUCUGCAGGAGUAAAAUGCGGACUUGAAGAAGGUGGUCUCAGCUCCCGUUCUAAAAUAGUAGUAGUCAAAUUCAGAGCGCCGAGGAAAAAAUACCAUACUAGUGAUCAAUGAUUCUAUGACCAAGCAGAGAUAUUCAAACAAAUCAGCUAUUUCAACAAACAACAUUCGAAGAACAGAUAAUUUUUGAACAGCUUCGCCGUCCACCUCCUCCAGCACGUUAGGCAACGAUGUUGUCUUGUCGAUGUUCUCACGAAAAAUGAAUGUGUCUCACCACCAGAAUAUCGCUUAAGUAUGCUUUUUGUGUGUGAUUGAAUCGAGAGAAGGUGUGGUUUACGAUGGCAAUUUGGAAGGCAAACUAGAGGGGAAUGAACUCUCUGAGCUCGGAACUUUCGGCGACUGAGCAAUAAUCGAUUGCGGGCGCAUACAAUAUUGGAUACGGAAAUA